AGAGUUUGAUCCUGGCUCAGAACGAACGCUGGCGGCAUGCCUAACACAUGCAAGUCGAACGAGACCUUCGGGUCUAGUGGCGCACGGGUGCGUAACGCGUGGGAAUCUGCCCUUGGGUUCGGAAUAACAGCGGGAAACUGCUGCUAAUACCGGAUAAUGACGUAAGUCCAAAGAUUUAUCGCCCAAGGAUGAGCCCGCGUAGGAUUAGCUAGUUGGUGAGGUAAAGGCUCACCAAGGCGACGAUCCUUAGCUGGUCUGAGAGGAUGAUCAGCCACACUGGGACUGAGACACGGCCCAGACUCCUACGGGAGGCAGCAGUGGGGAAUAUUGGACAAUGGGCGAAAGCCUGAUCCAGCAAUGCCGCGUGAGUGAUGAAGGCCUUAGGGUUGUAAAGCUCUUUUACCCGGGAUGAUAAUGACAGUACCGGGAGAAUAAGCUCCGGCUAACUCCGUGCCAGCAGCCGCGGUAAUACGGAGGGAGCUAGCGUUGUUCGGAAUUACUGGGCGUAAAGCGCGCGUAGGCGGCUUUGUAAGUUAGAGGUGAAAGCCUGGAGCUCAACUCCAGAAUUGCCUUUAAGACUGCAUCGCUUGAAUCCAGGAGAGGUGAGUGGGAAUUCCGAGUGUAGAGGUGAAAUUCGUAGAUAUUCGGAAGAACACCAGUGGCGGAAGGCGGCUCACUGGACUGGUAUUUGACGCUGAGCGUGCGAAAGCGUGGGGAGCAAACAGGAUUAGGAAUACCCCUGGGUAGUC
rnacentral:rRNA from 1 species